UUAGGUACUAGUGCAGCCUAGGCCUUUUCUCAGGGAUAGCCUAACAUCUAACCGCACCCUCUUACCCUUUUUGUUUUGUUUUUUUCAAAAGUCCUUUCCCUCUUGAAGAUCAAUCCAGUAUUAUGCAAUCUGCCAACAUUUGUGUAUUAAAAUGCAUUCUGUCUUGAAAGCUGAUGCAUCCUGCUCCCAAUAUGGUGCAGAAAGAAGUUUGUUACCGUCCUGGAUUAAUAAAAGGGGCCUUUAUGGGUUGUGAAAGAAUAUCUGUGUGCUUAGGCAGGAAACUUUUUGAUCCACAGAAAAGCCAGACGGCAUCUAGUGAUAUGAAAAAUAAAUGGAAAAAACCAGAUGAAGAAUUUGAUCAUAUAAGAACUGAAUAAGCAAUAAAAAGGAAGAAAGAAAGGGGAAAAAAAAAGAUAUAAUCCAUCUCCCUGGAACCUUUUUGUGAUACAGCCAGCGAAGACAAGAAUGUCACAGAAUACCGAAAAGAUAUGGAGAUGCAGUCUUGUUCAGUAUCACAUUUCUCUGCAACAAACUAGGUGAAGACACAAGGAUUCCCAAGGGCACUGAAACACUAGGAGCCACUGUGCAGAUAGUGCUUCCUAGCUGGAGCCAAACAGUCUCCCAGGUUGUCUACUACCUGUUAUGAAAAACCCCAUGGGAAGGAUUUCUUCAUGGCAUCUUCCCCUGAGAUUUCCAGGGAAACUGCAGGAGGCUGGAGAGAGCCUCACAUAAUGAACAAGAGAGAAGCCACACAAAUCCUUCAGCUGCCUUGGAAAAAAGACAGUCAAUUCAGGAGCCACAAAUUGCCCGAGGCCAUUGCUGAAGGAGAAGAUUCCUCUCACAUUUCUCUCCAGGGUUGGCACAAAUGCUUCUACACUGGACGUAUUUCAGAUUGCCUGCAAUCUUCACAAGCCUGGAAGAACUUCAACAUAACUCAGGGCACCUCUAGGAAAGAAUCAUCUGACUGGACAGACUUGGAAAUUGGGCAUAAGCAAAUGAAUGCUAGAUGUGAUCUCCUUCUCCCUAAAAAAAAAAAAAAAAAUCAA